GCUCCGGUAGCCCAGUGGUAAGAGCGUCCGCCUCGAAAGCGGAAGGUCGUAGAUUCGAAACCCUGAAGAGUCA